AGGAUGAACGCUGGCGGCGUGCCUAACACAUGCAAGUCGAACGUCCUGUCUCGCAAGAGGCAGGGAGUGGCGGACGGGUGAGUACCACGUGGGUCAUCUACCGUGAGGUGAGGAAUACCGGCGAGAAAUCGCCGACAAGACCGCAUAGGCUCGAUGCAAGUCGAGCAAAGCUCUUUCGAGAGAGGGAGCGCCACACGAGGAGCCUGCGCCCGAUUAGCUAGCUGGUGGAGUAACGGUUCACCAGGGCGACGAUCGGUAGCUGGUCUGAGAGGACGAUCAGCCACACUGGGAUUGAGAACGGCCCAGACUCCUACGGGGGCAGCAGUGAGGAAUUUCGUCAAUGGGGGCAACCCUGAACGAGCAACGCCGCGUGCAGGAAGAAGGUUUUCGGAUCGUAAACUGCUUUUCUCGGGAAGAGAACGGACGGUACCCGAGGAAUCGACGCCCCGGCUAACUACGUGCCAGCAGCCGCGGU
rnacentral:rRNA from 1 species